AUGGAGGUGGCUAUCGGUGCGGCGAACUGGCUCGUUGGCAAGCUGCUGGAUAAGCUAUCCAAUGACUUGGUCGCCGCAUAUGUGGCCAGCUCUGAGCUCGGCCUCAACUCCGAGCAGAUCAAUACCAAGCUCAAGUACAUGCAAGGGCUGCUGCACGCAGCCCAGGACAGGGAUGUGAGCAGCAACCCUGGCCUGCAGAGCUUGCUGGAGGACCUGAGCAAAAAGGCAGAUGAGGCUGAGGAUGCUCUGGAUGAGCUCCAUUACUUCAUGAUCCAAGACCAGUUGGAUGGCACCAAGGAGGCCGCCUCAGAGCUCGGUGAUGGCCUCCAUGGUCAUGCUCUCCAUGUUCGCCAUGCUGCUCGCUCCACUGUCGGUAACUGGCUUACAUGCUUUUCUUGCUCGCGUACACAAGAUGAUGAUUAUGUUGAUGCUACUGUGGUUGCCACAAAUAACCCACAAGAGGCAACUAGUUCUGAUAGUGGUAAUGAUGGUGGACAUGUUGGGAAGCUCAAAUUUGAUAGAGUAGCCAUGUCCAACAAAAUCAAGUCUGUGAUAGAGAGCAUACACAGCCUAUGUGAUCCUGUCUCUGACUUGCUGAAUAAAAUCCCAAAUAUUGAUACAUCUAUUACCAUGAAAAGAGCCCCCACUGGUUCAGUAGCUGCACAAGAUAAAUUGUAUGGGAGGAGAGUCAUCUUUGAGCAAACUGUAAGUGCGCUCACUGGUAGCACAUAUCUUGGUGAAACCCUUUCAGUUCUUCCUUUUGUUGGCCCCGGGGGUAUAGGAAAGACAACUUUCACCCAACACUUGUAUAAUGAUAAAAGGGUUGAGGACCACUUCACUGUCAGGGUUUGGGUAUGUGUCUCAACUGAUUUUAAUGUGCUCAACCUCACACGGCAGAUCCUUAGAUGCAUACCUGCAAGUGAAAAAGAAGAACACAGCUGCACAGUUGAAACAGCCAAUUUAGACCAGCUUCAAAAAUCCAUUGUAGAGAGACUGCAGUCCAAACGGAUUUUAAUUGUCUUGGAUGACAUUUGGAAAUGCAAUAGUGAAAGUGAUUGGAACAACCUAUUAGCUCCAUUCAGGAAGGGGCAAACCAUGGGCAGCAUGGUUCUUGUCACAACUCGGUUUCCAUCUAUAGCACAUAUGGUGAGAACAACGGAUCUUGUUGAACUGCAUGGUCUAGAGCCUAAUGAAUUUUUGGAAUUCUUUGAAGCAUGCAUAUUUGGUCAUAGCAAACCUAGGCAUUAUGAAGAGGAGUUAAUUGAUGUUGCAAGAGAUAUUGCUAGGAAACUCAAGGGUUCACCACUAGCAGCCAAUACAGUUGGUUGA
rnacentral:rRNA from 1 species